GAGUCCCAUGGUAAACACCCCUGUCCCCGUGAACCCCGCCAGCACUGGGAGGAGCUCUUCUUAGGGUGUCCACUUUACAAACCUGACCCUGCACGCCCCGCUCUGUGCCCUGCACCUCCAUCCUGAACUAUCUGGACACAGCAGGCUGGAGUGCAAUGGCGACACCUCAGCUCACUGCCACUUCUGCCUCCCGGGUUCAGGCGAUUUUCCUGCCUCAGCCUCCCGAGUAUCUGGGAUUACAGUGCCUCCUGCCACCCUGCCAGCACCGAGCCCCUCUUCCAGCCCACCCCAGUGGGGUCCAGGCCCCUCCCUGGAGCCUCACCUUGCGGGUCACGGUGCACUGCUGAGUCAUGUCCUGGAUGAGGGCUAUGAGCUGCUGCUGAGCCCUGCAGAGACCAGCAGAGGCCCUGACCCAGCUGCCUCCUGCCAGGAGGAGGAAGCCAAGGCAGGCUGGGUGCCAUUUCCCUGUGGGCCUCUCUGGGGACGCACCGAGCUCGCGGCAGCUGCUCACCUGGAGUAGUUGGGGAUGGUGCCGUGCACGGCAGCAGCAGAAGCCGUCCACCCUCCUGAGAAGCCCCACGGCCUCCUCCAGGGUCGUGUCCUCCAGGACUGCCUUGAACAAGGGCUCUGAGGCUUCGUAAUCAACCUGAGGGCAAGUCGAGAAGGUCAGUCUCUUUCUCCCGGGACUCUGAAUCCAGCCAGAAGGCAGAGGGCGCUGAGGGCACUGAGGCGAAGCGCGGGCCAGCCCUGCAGUAGGACCACUGCCUGCACGCCUUGGUCAAAACAAAGUCACACACGAGA
rnacentral:antisense_RNA from 1 species